rnacentral:lncRNA from 1 species
GAGGAGGCGUUGUGUGGGCGCGACGGCUGCGAGUUGGGGAGGUCUGUGGUGCGGGUCGCCCCGGGGGAUCCCCGGCGCGGGCCUCGCGCGACGGCCACGGUCGCGCGGCGUGUGUGGGGGGUCCACGCACACCCGCAAAACUUCCUCCUCCCCUGCUCCGGGAGAGCGAGCGAGCGUGUGUGAGAGCGAGUGUGAGGAGCGAGCCGCGGCCCGACGCCCAGCGCCGCCGCUGGAGCAGCUGUCAAAACUUCGCCGCCGCCCGGGCCCCGCGGCCCGCCCUCCCCGCGCCGGGCCCCUUUCUCUUCCUGCUGCGGGCGGCCCGGGGGAGGGGCCGCGGGCGGAGACCCCGGAGGCCGGCGCCCCUCACGCCGCCCGCCCGCCCGCUCCCCGCCCGGCCCCUGCGCGCGUGCGUGUCCUGCUCGCUCCAUGUUGCCGCCUCUCCCGGUACCUGCUGCUGCUCCCGGGGCUUCGGGAAAUGCGAGAGUCUGAGCCGGGGAGGAGGAACCCGAGCAGCGGCGGCGGCGGCCGCGGCGGCGGGAGCCCCCCAAGAGGAGGACCGGGAUCCAUGUGUCUUUCCUGGUGACUAGGAUGUCGUCGGAGGAGAACAAGUGCGUGGAGCAGCCGCAGCCACCACCCCCCGAGGAGCCUGGAGCCCCGGCCCCGAGCCCCCCAGCCGCAGACAAAAGACCUCGGGGCCGGCCUCGCAAGGCGCUUCCCCUUUCCAGAGAGCCAGAAAGAAACUCAGCCCACCUGCACCCAGGUGAAAUAAACAGCUUUAUUGCUCACACGAAGCCUGUUUGGUGGUCUCUUCACACGGAUGCGCAUGAAAUUUGGUGCCGUGACUUGGAUCGGGGGACCUCCCUUAGGAGAUCAAUCCCCCGUCCUCCUGCUCUUUGCUCCGUGAGAAAGAUCCACCUACGACCUCAGGUCCUCAGACCGACCAGCCCAAGAAACAUCUCACCAAUUUCAAAUCUGGUGUACAAUAAUAGAGAGGAAGCAGCCAGACGGCAACGCAUUUCGGAGUUACAAUUACUUGCCUCUGCUGUGAGACAAAACCCAGCCACACCUCCUGCAUACAGGAACUUCAAAAUGCCUAAGACGCAGCAAUCAGACACUCCUACAAGACUUCAUCAGGAUCUUGCUUCAAGUGCCAGAAAUCUGGCCACUGGGCCAAGGAAUGCCCACAGCCCAGGAUUCCUCCCAAGCCAUGUCCCAUCUGUGCAGGCACCCACUGGAAAUCAGACUGCCCAGCUCGCCCGACAGCCACUCCUGGAGCCCCUAAAGCUCUAGCCCAAGGCUCUCUGACUCCUUCCCAGAUCUAUUCGGCUUAGCGACUGAAGAUUGACGCUGCCCGAUCGCCUCGGAAGUCCCCUGGACCAUCACAGAAGCCGAGCUUCGGGUAACUCUCACAGUGGAGGGUAAGUCCAUCCCCUGUUUAAUCGAUACGGGGGCUACCCACUCCACGUUGCCUUCUUUUCAAGGGCCUGUUUCCCUUGCCCCCAUAACUGUUGUGGGUAUUGACGGCCAAGCUUCAAAACCCCUGAAAACUCCCCCACUCUGGUGCCAACUUGGACAACACUCUUUUAUGCACUCUUUUUUAGUUAUCCCCACCUGCCCACUUCCCUUAUUAGGCCGAAAUAUUUUAACCAAAUUAUCUGCUUCCCUGACUAUUCCUGGAGUACAGCUACAUCUCAUUGCUGCCCUUCUUCCCAAUCCAAAGCCUCCUUUGUGUCCUCUAACAUCCCCACAAUAUCACCCCUUACCACAAGACCUCCCUUCAGCUUAAUCUCUCCCACUCUAGGUUCCCACGCCGCCCCUAAUCCCACUUGAAGCAGCCCUGAGAAACAUCGCCCAUUCUCUCUCCAUACCACCCCCCAAAAAUUUUCGCCGCUCCAACACUUCAACACUAUUUUGUUUUAUUUGUCUUAUUAAUAUCAGAAGGCAGGAAUGUCAGGCCUCUGAGCCCAGGCCAGGCCAUCGCAUCCCCUGUGACUUGCACGUAUACAUCCAGAUGGCCUGAAGUAACUGAAGAUCCACAAAAGAAGUAAAAACAGCCUUAACUGAUGACAUUCCACCAUUGUGAUUUGUUCCUGCCCCACCCUAACUGAUCAAUGUACUUUGUAAUCUCCCCCACCCUUAAGAAGGUUCUUUGUAAUUCUCCCCACCCUUGAGAAUGUACUUUGUGAGAUCCACCCCUGCCCACCAGAGAACAACCCCCUUUGAUUGUAAUUUUUUAUUACCUUCCCAAAUCCUAUAAAACAGCCCCACCCCUAUCUUCCUUCACUGACUCUCUUUUCGGACUCAGCCCACCGGCACCCAGGUGAAAUAAACAGCUUUAUUGCUCACACAAAGCCUGUUUGGUGGUCUCUUCACACGGACGCGUAUGAAAAAAGUCUCGCCCUGUUGCCCAGGCUGGAAUGCAGUGGCACGAUCUUGGCUCACUGCUACCUCCACUUCCUGGGUUCAAGUGAUUCCCAAGUAGCUGGGAUUACAGGUGUGUAUUACCAUGCCCAGCUAAUUUUUGUAUUUUUAGCAGAUAAGGGGUUUCACCAUGUUGGCCAGGCUGGUCUCCAACUCCUGGCCUCAAGUGAUCCACCCACUUCGGCUACCCAAAGCAUUGGGAGUACAGGGGUGAGCCACUAUGCCCAGCCUCACAUCAUAUUUCUAAUCCCGAGACUGUAGAGCUGGUGUCUCUUUUUGGAAAGGAUGUCAGUAGAGAAAUGGAGUUCCCCAAAAUUACAGUUUCACAUAUUAGUAAAGUUUCUAAAAUACAGUAAUAAUGUUGAGAGCUGACAUAGGGACUAACUUAGUUUUUUUUUUUUUUUUCAAAUUGUCACCUAACUUUGAUUUUGCUAAAUAAGGACAUUAAAAGAAAACCAAAAAAGUCCACUAUUGGCUAUUGCCACUAUUUGAUUUUUUAAAAAAUAAGCGUAUUUUAGCAUCUAAAAGUAGGAAGGACCUCAAAUAAAUGAGUCUUUGUUCUUGGCCAGGGAAAACAGCGUUGUCAGCAUUUGAUAACUGUUUUUCUAGGGUAUGUGCUGUUAUUCAGUUAAAACCUUGCCUGGGACGCUAGCAUUCGGUAAAUACUUGUUGAAUAAGCAAAUGAAACUUAAGCUUCUAUGUAUAGAAACCUAAGUCACUUCACAUUCUGAUUAGCAGAGUAAUUGAAUAUUCUUUUCAGUGUGUAGAUCUAUACCCAGAACCACAGAAUAUUGGAACUGUAAAAACCAACUGCAUUAAAUAGAUGUGGUAUGUGGCAGUGACAACUUGAAGGUUGUGACUAGAACUCCGGUCUCUGGAGUGUUCUAUUAUAUCACACCAAGCUGGUCACCAGCCCAUGUGUUGAUCCUCCAUUGUGAUAGCAACAAAGAAAAGACUUCAGGACAUUCUUUCCUUUACCCUAAUCCUUGAUCUUCAGUCUUAUUUAGAAAAGCUUAAUGUUAAAGAUCUAGUUUAUUCAAAACUAAAGAUAAGGAGUAUGAGAAUUUCUAUUUCGGAGUGUAAAGGAGGAGAUGUUUCCUUGGCUUCUCUGAGCCUACAGGCCUUCCUUGCUCUUUAAGGAAGUAGAGAGAGAGAGGAAAGUAAAGUAUGCUUUUGUUUUUUAAGGUUACUUUGCUGGGAGUAGUUUGCAUGCCAUUUGGUUUUCUUGGGUGGAAUUAACUGACUUAAGUUUUAAGUAGUUGGGACUAUUUAGAAACAAUGCCUAUCCAAUGUUUGCCAUAAAGGCAGAGGGUAUUGGCUUUAGAAGUUAAUUCUUCUCCAGGAGUGAAAAUGAGCUGCUAAACCAGAAGCAGCAGAGCUAAAGAAAGUAAUUUUCCACCUGGCCAGUGCAUGAUGUGAAAGGUAGACUAAAAGAAUGAGAGGACCCAUUUUCUGAUGAAAGACUAAGCCAUGUUGAAACAGCCCUGUUGAGGAUUUUAUUUUAAAUCUAUACAUUCACAAAGGAGCUUUGUGUAUGUCUUUCCCUAUUUGUUGUUUGGACUAGGAAGCCCCACCCAGUGCUUGUUGAAGGCAGAAAGUUGUUGAAAGCAAUCCGGGAUUUGAACAGUGGAUUGAGGUUUCGAAUAUCCAGUGAACCAAAAUAUAUCAGGGUUCCCCUGGCCAAGAUGAGUGACCAUUCUGAGGUGUUACGUAUUUCUUGAAUGGGGAUUUUAGGAAAAGUUUCUGUAUUUCUGUGCUCAUUUUGUUGACCUCUGUAUGUGCAAAAUCUCUAAGGGGGUGUUUGGGCACUUAGAUUUCUUGGAUGCAGAUUUGUUUGUGUAUGAAACAAAUUUUAAAUUGUUUCGUAUACACUGGAUUUAAAAUAGUUUAGUUUACUAAAGUGUUUUAAUGUUUUCAUCUUAAUUUUCAGUUCUUAUAGUCUUUAGAUUUAGGGAGGCUGUUGAUGGCAUCCACAUAUGCAUUUUAAUGUCAUUUAAAAUGUAUUCUGCUGAAUUUAACAAUUUCUGACCUAAAACUUGACAUUUUAGAUUUAAGUCGGUAAAGCACUGAUUUAAACUGGAUUUUAACUGGAUGAAAUUCUGAUUUAAUGAGUGUACUGACUGGAUAAAAUGCCAAUGAUUUAAUUAACAAGCACGUUUAACAGGAUGCCCUAUAUAUUAGUUAAAAGUGAAGCAAUUGAAUUAGGUACCAUUUCAAAAUGGUUGCUGUACCCACUCACCCUCUCUAUCCUCCAAUUAGGGUAUAUUUUGAAAUGAUUGCUUUUCCCUUUUCCUUGUGUAAAGAGCCUGAGGAAAUUUUCUUCGGCCUUCAUCAUGAGAACCUGGUGGGGUUUCUGGAAGUAAAAUUCAUGAAAGUAUAAGGGGCCCCCAAGACGGGACUCCAACAAGUUUUUAACUCUCAAGCUAGUCCACACUCAGCCACCAGUAAAUUUAUUGAUUACCAUUGAAGUGUUCCUACCAAUUACUGGCUCUGUGGCUUCUGCUCUCAGGUAAACUGAUUUUCUAUAGUCACCCAUCUCUCUAGUUUUUGAGGAAGUGGUUUCCCUGUGACCUCUAUUCUCGGAGAGAUCUAAGAAAAGUUGUUGAUUUUCAGUUUGAUUAUCUUUUUUUCCGUUGUGAAGAUGGGAGUGAUGACUUCCAAGUUCUCUACAUGUUGGAGUGGGAACUGGAAGACCUAAUUAACUUCUUAAGAAACUGUCAAACUGUUUUCCAAAGUGGAUCUAGCACUUUACAUUCCUGGUAUUGUAUGAGAGUUUCAGUUUCUCUCUAUCUUUGUCAACACACCAUCUUUCUAAUUUUAGAUAUUCUAAUAGGUAUCUGGUGGUUUCUUACUGUAGUUUUAAUCUGCAUUUCUCUAAUAGCUAGUGAUGAUGACCAUUUUUUCAUUUGCUUAUUUGCCAGUUGCAAAUCUCUAUUAGUGAAGUAUCUGUUCACAUAUUUUGCCCAUUUUUUAAAAGUUGGGUUGUUUUCUUACAAUUGAAGUUUAUUUUUUCUUAUACUCAAAAUUUUAAUUCACGCAUAAUAAAUUGUACAUAUUUAUGAGGUACAAUGUGAUGUUUCGGUACAUUUUACAUUGCAUAAUGAUCAAAUCGUGGUAAUUAGCAUAUCUAUUGCCUUAAACAUUUACCAUGUCUUUGAUGUAAGAAUAUUCAAAAUCCUCUCUUCUAGCGAGAAUAUGAGUGUAUUUUAAAUGUACAACUAUUUGUUUUCUCACAAUCCUAUAAAAUGAUAGCUUGAGUCAAUGAGUUUUCCCCUCAAGUCCUAUCAACUUUGUCUAUUUUAGUGAAAUUUAAUAUUGUCUAGAAAACACUAAACAAACAUAGUUAUUCAGAGAGGAUAACUGAGCCCUCUGGUUAUUCUCUCUAACCCACAAAGGAAGCUGAACACUUGAUGUAAACUUCUUCAUCAGAGUAAAUAAUAAGAAUCUGCUCCAUUACAUACAAAAGAAAAAAUAACUGGAGAGAGAGUCUCUGCUCUGAGGUUAUUAUCCUGUGGUCUUUGGUUUUGGCACAUUCUCCCCCACCCCAUGCCUUUCUCCCUCAUCUUUAAUGAGUAUCCGUAUGUAUGGCAGAACAGUAUUUUUUUUUUAUUAUACUUUAAGUUUUAGGGUACAUGUGCACAAUGUGCAGGUUAGUUACAUAUGUAUAUGUGUGACAUGCUGGUGCGCUGCACCCACUAACUCGUCAUCUAGCAUUAGGUAUAUCUCCCAGUGCUAUCCCUCCCCCCUACCCCCACCCCACAGCAGUCCCCAGAGUGUGAUGUUCCCCUUCCUUGGUCCAUGUGUUCUCAUUAUUCAAUUCCCACCUAUGAGUGAGAAUAUGCGGUGUUCGGUUUUUUGUUCUUGCGAUAGUUUACUGAGAAUGAUGAUUUCCAAUUUCAUCCAUGUCCCUACAAAGGACAUGAACUCAUUUUUUAUGGCUGCAUAGGAUUCCAUGGUGUAUAUGUGCCACAUUUUCUUAAUCCAGUCUAUCACUGUUGGACAUUUGGGUUGGUUCCAAGUCUUUGCUAUUGUGAAUAGUGCCACAGUAAACAUACGUGUGCAUGUGUCUUUAUAGCAGCAUGAUUUAUAGUCCUUUGGGUAUAUACCCAGUAAUGGGAUGGCUGGGUCAAAUGGUAUUUCUAGUUCUAGAUCCCUGAGGAAUCGCCACACUGACUUCCCCAAUGGUUGAACUAGUUUACAGUCCCACCAACAGUGUAAAAGUGUUCCUAUUUCUCCACAUCCUCUCCAGCACCUGUUGUUUCCUAACUUUUUAAUGAUUGCCAUUCUCAAAGAACAGUAUGUUUUUAAGUCUCUGCAGUCUUGGGCCAAGCUCGUUCUAUUCCCCACUCUACAAGAAUCACAAGAGCGCCAGGAUUCUGUUUGGGGUUGCCGUGGACACAGAGUUCUUAUUACAGAACUGACAUUCUCAAUACGAGGUAAAGACCUAGAGGUGAGGUCUCUGAGCAAGGGAGUCCCAUCCCAUCCUCUGCCCUCUGUUGGCUGUUGUCCUCUCAUCUUCAUCAGGAGAAUUAAAAUCAUGUAAAGUUUUGGCGGGGGAACUAGAUGGUGGUCUCUGGGGCCCAUAGACAGGAAAGUUUGCUUAUACCCAGCUGGGGGGACCACUAAUUGACAUUCCUUUCCCCUCCCAGGGACCUUACAGAGUCCCCUUACCCUCACGGUACUGGGGGACAACCAGUGGGUGUCAGGCCAAAUAGCAGUAACCUUGUUACUUGCCAGGAAUUGGGUCAAGAUUUGAUUUAACAAGCUUGGUUUUGGGAACUAAAAAAUGAAAAAAGGAAAAGCCAUAAUCUUGAAAGGCAACAAGAGAGAAAACUGCCAACAGGAUCUUGAUUAAAUUUCUCCCUCUUAGAGAAUGUUGUACUGACGACACAAGAUCUCAGACUUGUGUGAUUCUAGCAGCUGAACACACCCCAGGCUCUUCUGACUGGCAGUGGCUCUGGAAGCAGUCUGGUCUAUAGGUAAGCAGGUCCAGGGCUUACAGGGAGAAACUCCCAGAAAUCCAGCUCUGCCUUGGGUUGCCCUGAUUCACGUCCAAAGAUGUGCUUGGGCCACAUCUCUGGAGCACAAGGUGGUAGACUGAGAGCUUUGAUAUUUCUACUCCUACUGCAGAUGAGCUGGUAUAACUCCGAAGGUAUGGAAUUUGCUGUUGUCUGUGACCCAGCAAAUAAAAAUAGAAAAAUAAUUCGAUAGAAAAAUAAUAGAAAUAGAAAAAAUUUAAAAAACAAACCAAGCCUCAUUCUAUGACAUUUUAGGCAGUGUGAUAAUAUGCAUAUACUGGUCACUUUAAUCUUUCCUACAGGGGCAGCUGGUUGCCCUAAUGGUGGAUUCUCUGUUCAAGGAUGGUGAGCUAGUGUUCAGCUCAGGAAGCCACUCCACAGAGAUGGCCACCAAAAGGGCUUCAGUGGUCCCAUCUCAAUUAACACCUGAAACAUUGUUAAUUACUACAGUGAAGGUCACAAAUGGGUUUUUAUUAGUGAAACUGUUGGCUUACAAAGCAGCAUGAUGGAUGUUACAAUUAUAUGACAUUUUAAGAUCUGUGAAUCAACUAACGUGUUUUGGAGACAGCCCACCCUUGCAUAAGCAGGAUAAAGGUGUAUGAGGGUGGCCUGUAGUGUAUAUUUAGAGACGACACCCAAGGCUUGAUCCUCAUAUGGUCCUAUCUCCAGGAAGGUUUAGGAAGAUUUUGGCCUCUGAAACAUUAGGAAUCUGUUGAGAAUGAAGCUUUCAUGCUUGGAGCACCUAAAGUGCAGAAAGCUUACAGAAGCUUAUGUACUGUGCCUGCUUGCUACUGAAUGUUUUGUUAAAUGAAUAUCUGUAUGUAUGGCAGAUUUGGUCAGAGACCUACUUUUCAUUACAACCUGGUAGCAUGAUUAUAAAGGUGUAGCUAACUUUCAACUAACUCAAACUUCUGUGGUUGCUCCUAUCUACCAAAAAGCAUUUAAGAAUUCUGCAUGACCACUUCAGUUUAGGACAGUUUGCAAUUCUCACCUUCCUUAGAGGGCAAUUUAGCUAGUUACUUAUUCAUGUCCCAUGAGGGAAGUCAUUCUGUGCCCCAAAGCAGCUUAUCAAAGUAUUAUUUCAGACUUCAUGCAGUACUCUCCCUGAAAGGAGUUCAGGUAACAUCUAUGGAUGUCUCGUGCCCUUUUUGGAGAUUAGUUUCCCAAGGAACUUGCUUAGCAAUCCUGGCUUGUCACCUGAAUCUGGAGUAAUUUGAGUGUCUUCCAGUUCUCUUCCUCAGUAGAGGAUGUCUGAAAAAUCUAGUAAUCAUUUAAUAAGGCUGCUUAUGUCAGAAACUCAAAUUCUUAACCUUUUUGGUGUUUUGAACAUUUUCCCCUGUUAUAAUUUAUUAGUGUAUUCUGCAUAGACAAUCCAAUUAUUCAUCCUGCUGAAAAGUAGCGGAUGCCUAUAGAUGCCUUUCUUUUUGUAAAAGGUAUUGUUUUUCCUGAGACCUGGAUGAAUUUCCAGGAGCCAUUCAAGGACAUGAGAACAGCCACUUAGAACUUGAAAGGUUCCUCUCAUGGCCCUCAGACCAGGCUAAUGAGAUUCGAUAAUUUGAACUCUGGCACUCCUUUCCUCACAGGCUGAAAGACUAGCACAAUAUUAAUGUCUAUCUGUGCUUAAAGGUUUGAGCUAUUGAUCAGAGUCCAAAAUUAGUUUGUGUAGGGGAACUUUUCUUAAAGACAUAAAAAGAUACCAUUUAAUAUAUUGUUUCCAAAAUAUGUUUCUCACAUAUUUCCACUGUGAGAAAGAGGUUCUGUGGUCAAAUAAGAAACCUCAGCACACUCUUAGAGAAUCCCAGUUGUUGUCAGCAGCAAAAAAAUGUAUGUGAUCAGUUUCUUAAACUUAUUUAAAUGUUUGAAAAGUUAGAAAAUUGUGGCGAAGAGCAUUCUUGAGUCUUGGGAGUGUAUUACCUUGAUGAGAAUGUUUGUGUAUUUGAAACUAAAAAUGUGUAUCAGUUUAUAUUGCCACAUACUGAUUUUUAUGACAUGAUACAUGGUGUAGAGAGCAGGUUGUCUAAAAACCAAUACUGGCAAAAUGCUGAAUAUUCAGCAUGGUUUUAUGAAGUUGACAGAUGUGGAGUGUAUUUUGCAUGUGUCUUAACUUACAGAUGAGGAAAUGAAGUUGCAGAGAGAUUAAAUUAGCCAAGCCAGGGGUUUCGGUGCUAGGAAGUCUUGAUAUUGUAAAAUAUAGCCAUAUAACUUUAAAAAAAAGAAUCCAGACAAAAGGAAAACAAAAUCAUUGUAAACACAUAAUCCACUUUAAGUUCACAAAAUGUUUUAAACAUAAUUAAGGCUAUGCUUGACUUACCUACUUGUUUAUUUCCUAUCAAGGAUGACCGGGAACUAGCCAUUGAUAAACAUUCAUUAUUCUUACAUUUUCUUUCUUUUUUCUGCGUCCUCUCUCUCUCUCAGACACACACACACACACACACACACACACACACACACACACACACACACACACACACACACAGUCUCAGAAGUACUAGUGCUGUAUCCUGAAAUUGUUUCUUUAGUUCUUGUCAAAAUUCCUCCGAUUUUAUUUUUUGUGUCCUGAAAUACUGUUGAGAUUAACAUCCUCAUUGCCUUCCAAAAUAUCUGACUUUAUUUUUUGUAUGUGCCUUUUACUCUUUGGUAGAGUUAUGGAUUCACUACCAGAUUCUACUGUAUGCUCUGACAACUAUGACCACAAUGGGUGAGUUGACUGAUCUAAGUGGUGAAAAAUACUGGGAGCAUCAAUGGCAAUAACAGCUUUCUAUCAGAGACUUUAAGCAUCUUUGGUAACAUUGUUUUUGAACCAGAGUGGAAAAAAUAAGAUCAGGUUAGAAGAGGGAUGCUGGGUGCUCAAAGAUAGUUUGUGACCCCAAGUAAUUAGCAGCCAAAACCUUAGGAAACGAUCAGAAUGCCUGUGUAUGAGACUCUGUCAAGAGUGAUCCAAGAGAGUAGAGAAUCCUACUUGGAGAAAGAAGGUGGUAGCAUUGGACAGGCAGCGGAGGAGCCCUCAGCAGAAAGAAAGGAGCUAAGAGACCCUGUAUCUGUCCCUCACGCUUCAGAGCUGGUGCCCCAAACUCAAAGCCAUCAUCACAUUGUAUGGAGCCCCUGCCUCAGGUUUAGUCACUUGAUCCUAUUUGAGGGGAAGCAAAGAUAUCUGUGACUCAUGAAGAGCAUAAAGGUGGAGGAGGGACUUGAUAAUUAGGAAAUCAAAAUGGGCAAGAAUAAUGUGUGCCUACAAAUGGGACAUGAAUUUGAAGCAAAUUUAAGUUAAAUUUGCUGCCAUACAUGAUGAUCAAGUUCAGUAAUAAAAAAUUGUAUUUAAAUCUUGAUUCAUUAAACUUUUUUGAGAGUCCUAAACAAUUUUUAUUACCAACACAUAGAGACUUCUUUCUAGAGAAAAAUCAAGUACCAGGUGCCAAAUAACAGAUUUACAUGAGAAUUUUCAGGGACAACACAUUGUAAUUUGUAGCACAAUCAUAGCCAAUUUGAACCAAAAAAAAAGUUGUGUAUGCAUUUAUGUUGUUUCUUACUAUUUACCUUUCAAUCCUUUGCACUGACCCCAAUGAAUUGACAUCAGAAAUCUGUGCUGUAGUCAACAAUGAAAGAUGAUGUCAUAAUAUAUAUUGGAGAUGGGAGGAAUUCAGGUUUGUGAAAUUCAGUCUCAGAAUUAUUCAUGGGAAAAUAGUUUUCUGGACACUGAUUCUAAAAUUCUUUCUAAAAAGUUGGGUCUUAAGUAAGCUAAGUCAUAUUUACCAUAUCUUUUAGAUUCAAGGAAUUUUGUUGUUCAAAUAAAUUGGUCAUAUCACCACUCCAUGUGGCAAAUCUCUAAUAUAUUUUUGCAUUUGAUGUUUGAAGUAAAAUGCAGCAACCUUACAUAGAGCUUUAAUUAUAAGCUUCAUGUGUUCAAAUAUAAUUGGUACUUUUAUAACUGAUGCAGUUUUUGUUAUACUCAGAAAGUUAUUUAUCGUAAGAUUACCAAUAUAGUCACCAAAAUAUUUUUUUAUAUUUUGAAUUAAUUUUCCACAUUUAAAUAAAGCGCUGCUGCUGUUGUUACUAUUCCCUUUUAACGUCUCCCCAAAUUAGUGUUUUAUUCUGUACACUUUAUGAGAUGGCAGCUUAACAAUACCCUUAAUAUGGCCCAAGGAUUCUACAAAAGGAAAUGCUGGUGUGUUUUGUCAAAAGUGUUUUCUGGCUGGGCAUGGUGGCUCAAGCCUGUAAUCCCAGCACUUUGGGAGGCUGAGGCAGGUGGACCAUGAGGUCAGGAGUUCAAGACCAGCCUGGCCAAUAUGGUAAAACCGCGUCUCUACUAAAAAUACAAAAACUAGCUGGGCAUGGUGGUGCAUGCCUGUAGUCCCAGCUACUCGGGAGGCUGAGGCAGAAGGAUCACUUGAAUCCGGGAGGCAGAGGUUGCGGUGAACUGAGACAGCACCGCUGCACUGCAGCCUCGAUGACAGAGCAAAACUCUGUCUCAAAAAAAAAAAAAGUGUUUCCUGUGCAGAUUAUCUAUUCACCACUUGCAGAUUUGAAGUUUACUAGGCAUGUGUGAUAUCUAAAAGUUCAUUUGAAGAAAAAGUUUCAAUGCCAAAAAUGUUUAAAAGUGGGAUAUAGGAAGAUGAUGCAAAGGUGGAAUCUCCAAACAUUUCCAUUUUCACCAGGAGGACUUAAUAGAAUGUCUAACAGCUACUUUUAGAUAUUUUUGAAAUGUGAGAGGGGUGAGUUAGUUAACACAAAGUAGACUGUGAGAUUAAAAUGUCUAUUCACUCUAAAAUCUCAGCAUUCACUUUCUUAUUGUCAAGUUAUUCAUCAGACUCUUUUCAGAGACAACCUAAAUGCAAGCUCUUAGAAUAUUACAACAUCUUUUAUAUGAGAUGACAGGAAAUAAUUUCAUGGCCUUUUAAAGGAUAGAUGAGGGAUUUGAAUACCACUUUCAGAUUAAGUAACUCCUUUAUUGAAUAUUACACUGUUUUAUGGUUCAUAUCUCUAUUGUGGUUGAGAGUUAUUGCCAGAUUUAUUCGCUGACAAGUAAAUAUUAUUCAGUUUAUAAUUAAUAUCCACGUUGGGGGGAGAUACUUUCAGUCUAUGUUAGAACUAUCUUCAAUGUUCAGUAUCCUGUUCCACAUAAAACUUUCAUGCACUAGUUUUAGCAUUCAUUGAUUUUUAUGUGAAUCAGUUGUAACUGUGAUCAUUACAAAAUGGUGAUUUUUUUUUAAAAAAAGCAGUUCUUCUGUGUUUAAUAAGUACCAUUCUAUUAUAAGGAGAGCUAUUCCUGCCCCUAUUUAUUCACUAUUACUAUGAACUUAUAAAUUCUUACAUUAUUUCAAUGAAUUACAAUCCUUUCUGUCAUUAUUUAUUUUGAUGUUUAAAUGGUCCCAUAUUUGGCCAGUGGGACUCCCUAAAAGCUAGCCCCUGUGUCCUUUUGACUUGACAUGUUCCCAUCACUUUUUGAGCAUUUCCCCAGCCCUAGAAUCAGCCAUUUACCCAAAGAACCUCAUUCCCUUUAGAAACCAAUAUUUUGCAUUUGGUAUGCUGAUUGCCAUUGGCUCAUUGCUACUUGUAGGCCUUUUUAAUAUAUAGAUGAGAGUACAGAUAUACAUAUUGACAUAUACAGAUAUAUAUACAUAUGCAACAAUUUUAAUAUGUUUAAUACACAGUAUAUACAUUUAUAUGUGUUCUGUAAACUAUGUAUUAUUGUUUUGCCUAUAUGUUUUUAAGUUUACUUAAAUGGUAUUAAGUUGUAUCUCAUUUUGUUAGUUUUUUGCUUAGUAACAUAAGAUUAUUCUUCUUGUGCAUACCUUUUGUUGUUGCUUUUAACUGGUAUGAAAAAUUGCACAGCAUGCAUCCCCUAGUGAGGAACACAUAUAUUGCUUCCUACCAUUUGCCUUCACAAAGAGUGCCGCUAAAUGAUUAUCCUUAUGCCAGACCCCUAUAGACCUGUUUGAGUAUUUCUGUAGGAACAUGAAACAGGACUUGAUGGGCCAUGGGAUUGCAUAUUUUGAAUUUGACUGAAUACUGCCUAUUGCUCUCCAAUGGUUAUACCAGUCUGCAUCUCCUGAACAAUGCAUGAUGGUUCCUACACAUACACAUUCACAACAACACUUGACAUUAUCAAACUUUCCAAUUUAUAUAAUCAGUCUAAUAGAUGGUAACAUAUUGCAUUAUGUUUUACUUUGAAUUUAUGCGAUAACUUAUGAAUUUGAGCAUCAUUUUAUGUUCUUAUAACAUUUGGGAUUUCUUCUGUAAUGGUCUAUUCAUGAACUUAGCCUGUUUUUCCACUAGUGUUCCUAUCUUUGUCUUGUUAAUUUACGUGUGCUGUUUUUGAAUAUUUUAUAUUUUAGAAUAAGUUAAUCAAAUUUCUUUUAAAAUUAUGUUUAAUUUUCAAAGUGAUUAUGUUACAUUUGUAAACAAUAUAGCAAGAAUUCACUCUUUUUAGUAACAUUAAAAACAUGGUGCUAUUGUUUGGAGGUUUGUACCCCCAGAACCGCAUGUUGAAAUUUGAUCCCCAAUGUUGGAGGUGGGGCCUAAUGGAAGGUGUUUGGAAGAUGAAUAGAUUAAUUCCCUCCCUUGGAGUGAGGGUGAGUGAGUACUCACUGUAUUAGUUCUUGCAAGAGCUGGUGGUUUAAAAAGAGACCAGCGGCUUCCCGCACCUUGAUUCCCCUCUUGCCAUUUGACCUCUGCACGUGUCAAUUCCCCUUCAUCUUCCACCAUAAAUGGGAGCAGCCUCAGAAGCAGAUGUUGGCAUCAGGCUUCUUGUGCAGCACACAACUGUGAGCCAAAUAAACCUCUUUUCUUUAUAAAUUACCCAGCCUCAGGUAUCCCUUAUGGCAACACUAAACAGACUCAGAUGCAUGGAAUCCCAUUCAAAAGUUUGGACUAUCGCUUUAUGUAUUCAAAUCAUCCUUCAUGUCAGUUUUAGACAUUGAAGUUAUGUUCUCUAAUCCAUCAUCUGCCUGUUAGCUUUGGCAUUGUUGUUCUUCAUUCUCUUCAUGACAGAACUUUUUGCCUUAUUAUUUUACUUUUGAAGUUUGAAAUUUUCCCACUUUCAGUCUACAAAGGUAAUUUCUAAUCCUCAUAGUUUUAAUUUACACAUUUAAUGCUUUAAUGUACUUAGAGUCUACCCUUCAAUAUGGUGUUAGGUAGGGAUUUGGUUUCAUUUUUCUCUCAAUGGUAGGCUGAUUUUCCAAAUACCAUCUAUGAAACAGUUCAUCCUUUUUCCUUGUUUAUAUAAUCAUCGUCAAUGACAUAUAUCUACAUAGGUUUAUCUCUGAGCUCAAUAUUUUGCUCCAUUGAUACUUACGGCAUCCCUACACCUUUUUUUAUUACCAUGAUUAGUUAUUAAUGGAGCCUUUAUAUGUUGAUACAGAUUUUGUAGUAAGUAUGUCAAUAUUCUAAAAAAUUUUGAAAAAUACCUAUGUGGGCCCUGUGGUGUUUGGGAGAGGGAAGUGCUUUAAAUACUAGGUUGAUUUCUUUGUUACUUGAGUAUUCUAUUUCUAUAUAAAUAUAUUUUCUUGCACUAAUGUUAGUGUCUUAUAUUCGUCUAGGAAUUUUUCCAUUCCAUCUAAGUUUUCACAUUUAUUAGCAUAUAAUUGAAUAAUCUCAUUUUAAAAAAUUUUAGUUGUGUUCUAGUUAUGCUCCCUUCUUGUACAUUUUAUUUGGAUAUUCACUCUGUUUGUUCUUGAUUAUUAUUGCCACAGGUCUAUUGUAGUAAUCUUUUCAAAGAGACACACUUUUGUUUUGUUAAUCUUCUCCACGGUUUUUUCUUCUCCAGUUCAGUGACUUAUGCUUACCUCCUUAUGUUUUGCUUCCUUAUUACUCCAUAGACUUUGCCCUGUGCUCCUUUUCCAACCUCUCUACUUAAAUGUGUACUCUUUGUUUUUAACCAUCUUGACUUCUUAUUAAUGCUUAUAUAUUGGUAAAUUUUCUUCUAAAUAUUGCUUCAUUGUAUCCUACAAACUUUGUCAUGUUAUUAUCAAUCAGUUCUUAGUAUUUAAAAUAUUUCGUGAUUUCCCUUUUAACAUAAGAGGCAUUCAGUAAUGUGUAAUUUAGUUUCAAAUGUGGGUUUUUUUAAAAAAGCUAAUCAUAUUACAGUAUAUUCAGAGAACAGCAAUAUGAUAUUGAUCCUGUGGACUUUAUCCUGUGGAAGCUUUCUUUAUGGUACAGAGAGCUAUGAUGUUGGUCUGUCCUUGUGCCCUCAUAGGUCUUUUGCUCUUUCUAGAAGGUGUUAGAAUUUUCUCUUUGUCUCCAUUAGAUAAUUAAAGCUGAUAUAUUUCUUUCUUGAAUUCUGGGAAAUUUAUCAUCAUAAAUUUUCACAUUUUAUUUUGCAUUUUUAGUUUUCAUUUCUUCUUAGAUUUUCAUAUUCUAGAUGUUAGAUAGCUGUUUUUAUUCUCCAUAACAUUCUUCUUUUUAGUAUGUUCUCUUUAUUCUUUUCUACUAUUUUCUGGGUAGGUUUCUCAAUCUAAUCUUCUAACUCUAAAUUAAUUAGCUUUUCACAUAUAUCCAAACUACUAUUUAUCCCUCACCAAUUUAUAUUUUUUGACAGUCAUACUUUUACAGUUAAGGCUUUCUCUUUUAUUUUUUCUUACGACUCCCAUUCUCAUUUCAUGUUUCAACAUCUUCCUUUGUGUUCUCUUAUCCUUAAGAAUAUUUGUCAUGCUUACUUUAAAAUCUUGGUCAGUGUGUUCCAGUAGUUUUGCUACAGUUGGUAUGCUGUUGUUCAGCUUGUUGUAUUUCUUUUUCAGUAGUUGUAUUCCUCAGAUAUCUAAUCAUGUUGGUUUGUGAACUCAGAUUUUUUGUGGCUAUUGGCUACUCUGUCUUGUCAUUUGUAUUGGGGAAGGACUGAAGGACAAUCUCAGUCUGCUGCUGUUCUUACAACAUAAUUAUUAAUAGCACCCACUUUUUCCUUUCAAAAGUGUCCUGGUUUGGGCAGGAAUUAUAUAGUCAGUCGCACUGAAAUCUAGGACGUAAGCUGUGUCAUUGUCAGUAAGUUUAAAAUGAAGAGAAGUGAUGUGCCCCAGGGUAGAGAGUCUCAGGAACCAUGAAACACUGACCAGGCAACUCCUGUGGGUUGUGAAAAGGAAAAACUUUAGACAAGGUAAAUUUAAGAGUUUAAUAGUGCAAGAAUGAUUUGUUAGUUGGGAAGCUUUUAGAACGAGAACAAGUUCUGAGAACUGCAAGCUGGCAAUGUGGCCAGACAGCAUUAUGGACAGAAAAUGGAAAUGAGGUCCAGAAACAGCUUUGUUGUUUACAACUGAUUACAGCUGGAUGUUUUGUCUUAUUUGAAUCAGUCAGCCACCCGCAAUUGACUGAAGCUCAGCCGCUCUAAUUGACUGAGACACAGCUGUCUGUUACAAGUGUAUAUUCUAUUCAUAAUUAUGCUGUUAGUUUACACACUAGGUUAGCUUGCAGUUUGUUGCAUAAGGACUCAAGUACAGAGGCAACCUCAGGGAAAAUUUCGUUUAAUUAAACAACUAUAUCACCUUGAAGCUCCUGAACAAAGCAGCAUUGGAGGAGACAAUCUCUCUGGUUUGUAACCUGGGCUUUGGAGAUGGAGGCAGGUGGAGGAGUGAAGGCCCAAGGAUGGCUCUUCAGCCCUUCCCUGUUUUCAUCAGCCAGCCUAAUGCUCUCCUAAUUUUACUGUAACUACUUCUAGGUAGUUGCUGUUGUUGUCUAUGGAGACAGGCAGGGAUGGUCACUAUUGUUUCCAAAUGGCUAAAUUGCAUGUGUUGUGUUUUGUUUUUUUAGAACAGCUAGUUUAUUAGUUGUAGGGUUAUUGUAGCUAAUUUGAAUAAAAAUUAAGCCUACAAAUUCACAUGGUAUUUGAUUAUGUACAAUUUAGUUUAAUUCUUUAGCUCUGACCCAAAUGAACUGAUAUCACUAGCCCAUGAUGGAGUCCUCAGUGAAAGUGAAAUGAUAUCACUAGCCUAUAAUGGAGUCAUCAGUGAAAGGUGUUGUGUGUGUGUGUAUGUUCAUAAAGAUACACGCAAAUGUUAACUAUAGAGUUUCUUGGACACUGUUUCUAAAGUACUGGUAGUUUCAGCUUCUGUAUGUAACAUCCUUUUCUUUUUGUGUCUACUUGGAUACAAGAUAAAUAGAUCACAAGAAGUCUACUUCUUCUUCCUAGCUGAGUUGACUCGUAGCCAAAACUUUUAGAAAACUGUUAGAUUGCCUGUGUAUGAGAUUCUACCAGGUUGGGCUAUAUUAGUUUCUAGGGCUGCUUUAACAAAGUAUCACAAACCAAGUGGCUUAAACAAAAAUUAAUGAUCUCAUAGUCCUAGAGACUAGAAAUCUGAAAUUGAGGUUGUCAGUAGGGUUGGUUUUUUAUGAAGGCUAUAAGGAAGAAUCUGAUACCUCUUUGCUAGCUUUUGCUGGUUGCUGGCAAUCUUUGGCAUUCCUUGGCAGGUAGACUCAUGUCUAGAGUAACUGCAGCUAUUUGACCAAAAGUGUAAGUCCAAUUAUGUUUGUAUCUGAAUAAUAUGCUUUUAUAAUUCCUCAGCCCACAGCCAAUUGAGUUGAUGGUAGUAACCUAUGAUAGAGCCACCCAUGAAAUGUGAAUUAAAAACAAAGAUUUAUAUACACGUAGGUAUAUAUAUACAUAUAUACACAUAACAUACACGCAUGCAUACACAUACACAGAAACAUAAAACAAAGAGAAAGAGAAGUUGAUAUUUGUAAAAUUCACUGUCAGGCAUAUCCUUGGAAAUACAGAGUAUCUUUGACACUAUGUCUAAAUCUUCUUACUGUAGGAUCUAUAGAUAACCUUCUUUUUUUUUUUUUUUUUUUUU